UCCUCGUGGAAUACGAUGGAGCGGCCAUGGUUUCGUAGAAUAAGUAAGCUCUGCAUAUUCCAUCGCCUGGUCAUAGCCCGUCGGGCCAUUACUGAUCAGUCAGACCAUGCCGUGAACAAUU
rnacentral:misc_RNA from 13 species